rnacentral:rRNA from 1 species
AUUGAACGCUGGCGGCAGGCCUAACACAUGCAAGUCGAACGGUAGCACAGAGAGCUUGCUCUCGGGUGACGAGUGGCGGACGGGUGAGUAAUGUCUGGGAAACUGCCUGAUGGAGGGGGAUAACUACUGGAAACGGUAGCUAAUACCGCAUAACGUCGCAAGACCAAAGAGGGGGACCUUCGGGCCUCUUGCCAUCAGAUGUGCCCAGAUGGGAUUAGCUAGUAGGUGGGGUAACGGCUCACCUAGGCGACGAUCCCUAGCUGGUCUGAGAGGAUGACCAGCCACACUGGAACUGAGACACGGUCCAGACUCCUACGGGAGGCAGCAGUGGGGAAUAUUGCACAAUGGGCGCAAGCCUGAUGCAGCCAUGCCGCGUGUAUGAAGAAGGCCUUCGGGUUGUAAAGUACUUUCAGCGGGGAGGAAGGCGAUAAGGUUAAUAACCUUGUCGAUUGACGUUACCCGCAGAAGAAGCACCGGCUAACUCCGUG